UUGUGCAUAAAACACCUUGUUAUACCCCCGAUUUUUAAAAAAAAUUAAAUGAGGACGAGGUGGAUUAUGAUGAGGUCAUUAUCCUUUUAAUCAAGGGUCAAGGUCAUUGGCUCCAAAAGCAGGUGAUUUGGGAACCAUUACGAUUUCAACAAUCAAUAAUGACCCCGGAGGAAAAAAUGUGGAUAUAUUUUAUUUAUGCAAUUUUUUUCCUACACAAACAUGCCACAAAAGUUACCCAUGAUCGUACUCUCUUGUUGUAUUCUAUUUUGCAGGGAUGACAGAUUAAUGUGAGGGACUAGAUCCUCUACACUAUGAGACAGUGUGUUGGAGGCCACAUACGAGGAAUUUCGUACCCAUACUUAAUUAUGGAGAUGUGCAAGAAGGCCGGAGUGGAGAUGGACUAAGAAGAAUCGACCUCCCCACUGAAGGGUAUAUUAAAUGAUGUUCUGCAAUCAGUGUGCCGAUCUGGUGGGGUAGCGAAACAAGCAAGUGGCGGCAUAUCGGGAGUAUACACGAGAUCAUGGGUUGCUAUAGUCCAUGACAGAACCCCAACCCGUACCACCAAGGUACGACAAAAAGGGUGACAUCAACUUCAACAGUGCAGAUGAUUGAUGAAAUGACUCAACAGAUCGAGGCAUACCUUAAGUACAACACUUCGUAGAUAUAACAACCCAGUUUAGACCC
rnacentral:lncRNA from 1 species